CAGCUGUGGCAUUUAAGGGAAACCUAAUGGGAAAAGAUUUCCCAGCUAAGUGACACAGACAGGGCCCUGCUCUCUCUCAAGUUCCAGAGGACACCAGGAUCCACUGCCUUGUCACCAAUUCCACAAGAAUGAGGUCUCACCCUACAAGCUUUACUCUUCCUGUUUCCCUCUUCUAAUUAACUACUCAGCUAAUUGUUACAGGAUCACCAUAGAGCUGGAG